GACGAACGCUGGCGGCGUGCUUAACACAUGCAAGUCGAACGGUGAAGCGCCUUCCUUUUUGGUGGGUGUGGAUGAGUGGCGAACGGGUGAGUAACACGUGAGUAACCUGCCCCCUUCUUCUGGAUAACCGCAUGAAAGUGUGGCUAAUACGGGAUAUUCUGGGUCUGUCGCAUGAUGGGUCUGGGAAAGAUAUUGUUUCGGUGGGGGAUGGGCUCGCGGCCUAUCAGCUUGUUGGUGGGGUGAUGGCCUACCAAGGCGGUGACGGGUAGCCGGCCUGAGAGGGUGGACGGUCACACUGGGACUGAGACACGGCCCAGACUCCUACGGGAGGCAGCAGUGGGGAAUAGUGCACAAUGGGCGCAAGCCUGAUGCAGCGACGCCGCGUGAGGGAUGGAGGCCUUCGGGUUGUGAACCUCUUUCGCCAGUGAAGCAGGCCUGCCUCGUUUGUGGGUGGGUGGACGGUAGCUGGAUAAGAAGCGCCGGCUAACUACGU
rnacentral:rRNA from 1 species